rnacentral:rRNA from 1 species
AUUGCCUUAGUACGGCGAGUGAAGCGGCAAAAGCUCAAAUUUGAAAUCUGGCACCUUCGGUGUCCGAGUUGUAAUUUGAAGAAGGUAACUUUGGAGUUGGCUCUUGUCUAUGUUCCUUGGAACAGGACGUCACAGAGGGUGAGAAUCCCGUGCGAUGAGAUGCCCAAUUCUAUGUAAAGUGCUUUCGAAGAGUCGAGUUGUUUGGGAAUGCAGCUCUAAGUGGGUGGUAAAUUCCAUCUAAAGCUAAAUAUUGGCGAGAGACCGAUAGCGAACAAGUACAGUGAUGGAAAGAUGAAAAGAACUUUGAAAAGAGAGUGAAAAAGUACGUGAAAUUGUUGAAAGGGAAGGGCUUGAGAUCAGACUUGGUAUUUUGCGAUCCUUUCCUUCUUGGUUGGGUUCCUCGCAGCUUACUGGGCCAGCAUCGGUUUGGAUGGUAGGAUAAUGACUAAGGAAUGUGGCUCUACUUCGGUGGAGUGUUAUAGCCUUGGUUGAUACUGCCUGUCUAGACCGAGGACUGCGUCUUUUGACUAGGAUGUUGGCAUAAUGAUCUUAAGCCACCAGUCUUA